rnacentral:rRNA from 1 species
GACGAACGCUGGCGGCGUGCCUAAUACAUGCAAGUCGAGCGGAUGAAAGAGGAGCUUGCUCCUCUAGAUUCAGCGGCGGACGGGUGAGUAACACGUGGGCAACCUGCCCUGUAGAUUGGGAUAACUCCGGGAAACCGGGGCUAAUACCGAAUAAUCCUUCGGACCUCAUGGUCCGAUGUUGAAAGACGGUUUCGGCUGUCACUACAGGAUGGGCCCGCGGCGCAUUAGCUAGUUGGUGAGGUAACGGCUCACCAAGGCCACGAUGCGUAGCCGACCUGAGAGGGUGAUCGGCCACACUGGGACUGAGACACGGCCCAGACUCCUACGGGAGGCAGCAGUAGGGAAUCUUCCACAAUGGACGAAAGUCUGAUGGAGCAACGCCGCGUGAGUGAAGAAGGUUCUCGGAUCGUAAAACUCUGUUGUGAGGGAAGAACAAGUACCGGAGUAACUGCCGGUACCUUGACGGUACCUCAUUAGAAAGCCACGGCUAACUACGUGCCAGCCGCCGCAGUAA